rnacentral:tRNA from 7 species
AUUUCUCUAGUAUUAAUUAGUACAAUUGACUUCCAAUUAAUUAGUUCUGGUCCAACCCAGAGAGAAAUA